GACGAACGCUGGCGGCGUGCUUAACACAUGCAAGUCGAACGGGGAUAUGUUUGAUGAGAGCUUCGGCAGGAAUCGGAUAUAUUCCAGUGGCGGACGGGUGAGUAACGCGUGAGCAACCUGUCCCAGACAGGGGGAUAACACUUGGAAACAGGUGCUAAUACCGCAUGAGACCACAGCAUCACAUGGUGCAGGGGUAAAAGGUGCAAACCGGUUUGGGGUGGGCUCGCGUCCGAUUAGAUAGUUGGUGAGGUAACGGCCCACCAAGUCGACGAUCGGUAGCCGACCUGAGAGGGUGAUCGGCCACAUUGGAACUGAGAGACGGUCCAA
rnacentral:rRNA from 1 species